rnacentral:tRNA from 1 species
ACGAAAGAUUGACGAUUGGUAAGAAUCCACAACAAGUUGUUCUUCAUAGAUGUAUCUGAGGGUCUGUAGCUCAGUUGGUUAGAGCACACGCUUGAUAAGCGUGGGGUCACAAGUUCAAGUCUUGUCAGACCCACCAUGACUUUGACUGGUUGAAGUUAUAGAUAAAAGAUACAUGAUUGAUGAUGUAAGCUGGGGACUUAGCUUAGUUGGUAGAGCGCCUGCUUUGCACGCAGGAGGUCAGGAGUUCGACUCUCCUAGUCUCCACCAGAACUUAAGAUAAGUUCGGAUUACAGAAAUUAGUAAAUAAAGAUUAAGAUCUUGGUUUAUUAACUUCUGUGAUUUCAUUAUCACGGUAAUUAGUGUGAUCUGACGAAGACACAUUAACUCAUUAACAGAUUGGCAAAAUUGAGUCUGAAAUAAAUUGUUCACUCAAGAGUUUAGGUUAAGCAAUUAAUCUAGAUGAAUUGAGAACUAGCAAAUUAACUGAAUCAAGCGUUUUGGUAUGUGAAUUUAGAUUGAAGCUGUACAGUGCUUAAGUGCACAGUGCUCUAAACUGAAAUGUUGAAGUUACUAACUUGUAGGUAACAUCGACUGUUUGGGGUUGUAU